UUUCCGUAGGUGAACCUGCGGAAGGAUCAUUAUUGUAUAACCGGGGUGCGGGGGCUGUCGCUGACCCGAAAGGUCGUGCACGCCCGAGUGCCCUCACACACAUCCAUCUCACCCCUAUGUGCACCACCGCGUGGGUCCCCCUUUGGCUUGUUCGGAGGGGGGCUUACGUUUUCACACAAACUUUGUAUGCAGUGUAGAAUGUAUUUUUUGUUUUUGCGAUCACGCAAUCAAUACAACUUUCAACAACGGAUCUCUUGGCUCUC
rnacentral:misc_RNA from 1 species